AAAUCAGUUGAAUUAAACAGGCCAAAAGGAAGACCUAGAAAAAAGCCAAUAGAAGAAUCAUCCAGAAAUGAAGCCACAAAGGCUUUAGUUAAGAUGCCAAAAGGAAGACCUAGAAAAAGACCAAUAGAAGAAUCACCCUGUAACGAAGCCACGGAGUUGAUUUCAGCUAAGAGGCCUAAAGGAAGACCUAGAAAAAAGCCAAUAGAAGAAUCACCCAGUAAUGAAGCCAUAGAGGAGAUUUUAGCUCCAGUUAAUGAAGCGACAAAGGAGAAUUUAGCUCAAGUUA
rnacentral:lncRNA from 1 species